GUGUGCUCCACUUUUUAGAGAGGGGUUGAUGGAGCAGAGAGAUUGUGAUAUCGCUUUUGCAAAUUCUCUUGAAACUUUUGUGGGAGGCCAUGGCGAUCCACUGUACGAUGCCCUGGGAGGCCAAGUCAUGACAAGAGUUGCAGCUGCAUUAAGAGUAAUAGGGAGAUCCAAGGAAUUCCUUAUGGCCCAGGUUGAGCACACUCUAUGCGAUAAGUUGCUGCACUUUACUAAUUUCGAUCUGAAUGAUGCUCA